GGAAACCUUGAAUAAACUGCUUUGCAGCAGCCACCACGGCCCCUGGCUCUUUUUCUAAUUCCUUAUACUUGCCUUUAGGCUUGCUUGUUCCUUUAGGUCUUUACUGCAUCAUUCCAGAGAGACCUUCUGUGCCAUACGCUACAGUUCCACCCCCUCUUAUGCCGCUUAGCACUCACCAUUGCCCAACAUAGGAGCUGUUUUAUGUCUUCCUCUUGAUUCUCACUGUUUCCUGCUUUGGAGCAUAAGCUGGACAGAGAAUACCAUCGGAGCUCCUCUGGAACAUGUCCUUGUCUUCUCAGAGUGUGAAGUGUGUGUGUGACAGUGCUUUUCUGAGGACUCAGGUGACCUGGAGGCUGGAGAACAGCAUGGAGCAAGGAAAACAAAGACGAUGUGCUGGAGUGUAUGUUGCUUUCAUAAUUAUGUGAAAGAAAAUGUAGAGAAAUUUGAAAGGAGAACUGGUUAUCAGUAGUGCCAUCCUGCUCAAAUAUCUUCAAAUACACACCACCAUCCAUGUGUGGGUUGAUUAAGGAGCUGACGUUCAUUAGAUCUGCAGUCUCCUGACCUGAUGUGCAUCAGAAUCACUGGGAGAACAAACAAACAAAAAUGAAUCCAAAACAAGCAACGAACAGACAGAUUCUCAAGUCUUGCCAAGUCCAAAGAUUGAUUUGGUGGAGAAAUUGUACUUUGAAAGCUGCCCAGACCUGUGCAAGCAUCCUGCCUCAUUCCAUUUGGCUGAAGCUCCUGCUCCACUUCUUGCUGGGCUGUGACCAUUCAGGAUCCCCCACUGUCCACCAGAGUCAGCACCUAAAAUGAGUGGGUCCUACAACCAGUGCUUGAGAGCACGGCCUCGGGACCAGAGCACCUGCCUUUCCAUCCAGUCCCUGCUUCUCAUGAGGAAGGUGUCCUUGGGGAGAGAAAAUCUUUUUCUGUCUGGUGUUUUUCAAAAUUUUGAUGAUGGACUCACAUCAAGGAUGAAGAGCUUUGAUGUCAUUUGAACACCACCACCAUCACCACCACCAGCAUCAACAAACAAACAAGCAAACAAGCGUGAACUCAGGAGCCCUGUGGCCCAGCCUCCAGUCCAUUUCCUCACUGUGAUCUGGCUAAGUCACCUCCCCUCCACCUCAGUUCAGUCACCUACACAACAGGAAUGGUGGCUCCUGGCGUGAAAAGUUCUUAGGAGCAUUCAGCAUGAUGCUGUGUGGAGCACUUGGAAACUGCGUGUGCAUCACCUCAUAUUUCUGGCCACAGGUCAUUCAGACAUCUGCCCUUUGCCCUGGAGGAGAACCACUAGGGACUUGUGCCCAUAAGCACCAAUUCUGGCUUUUACCCUACCCAUCCUUUGCCAUCCCAAACUAUGCCAUCAACAAAUUCUAGAAAUCAAGUUAGAAAUGCUGUUCCCACGAGGGUCUCUGUGGUCUCUCAGAACAACAAUCAGCUGGCCCUGCUGGGCAGAUGUUGCCCAAUCCUAACCCACACUUAGCUAUCAACUUAAUCAUUCUCAACUAAAAACACCUACCUGAACACUUUUAGGGGUUAAGAAUAGUAUAAUCUCACUUAGCCAUUUGCAUUUUUUCUUCUUUUUACAAAAAGAAAUUUAUCUUUUUUUUUUUUUGAGACGGAGUCUUGCUCUGUUGCCCAGGUUGGAGUGCAGUGGCGCAAUCUUGGCUCACUGCAAGCUCCGCCUCCUGGGUUAGCGCCAUUCUCCUGCCUCAGCCUCCCGAGUAGCUGGGACUACAGGUGCCUGCCACCACGCCUGGCUAAUUUUUUUGUAUUUUUAGUAGAGACGGGGUUUCACCGUGUUAGUCAGGAUCGUCUUGAUCUCCUGACAUCGUGAUUCGCCCUCCUCAGCCUCCCAAAGUGCUGGGAUUACAGGCGUGAGCCACUGCGCUCUGCCAAGAAUAGUAUAAUCUCACUUAGCCAUUUGUAUUUUUUCUUCUUUUUACAAAAAGAAAUUUAUCUCAUUAUUAUGUUUAAUCAGUUUCUUGAGGUAUAACUUAAGUGUGCUAAAAUUUGCUCUUUUUAGUGUACAGGUCUAGGAUUUUUGAGAAACACAUAUUCAUAUGUGACCACCCCCAUGAUCAACAUAUGGAACAGUCAUUUGCCACCCAAAAUUACCUUGUGCCCUUUUGUUGUCAGACUCUUCUUUCUCCAGACCCUGGCAACCACUGAUGGAUUUUCUGUCCCUAUAGUUUUGCCUUUUCCAGAAUGUUCUGCAAAUGUAAUCAUUUAGUAUGUAGCCUUUUAAGUCUGAUUUCUUUCACUCUGCAUAAUGCAUUUGAGAUUCACCCACGUUGUUACCUGUUACAAUGGUUUGUUCCUUUUUAUUGCGGAGUAAUAUUCCCUUGCAUGGAUGUACCACAGUUUGGGUAACCAUUCAACAGUCAAAUGAGAUUGAAUUUGUUUCCAUUUUUUGGUGAUUAUAAAUACAGCUAUAAACAUUUGUGAAAGUGUUUUGUAUGUACAUACAUUUUUCUUAGACAUUUGGUUUUAAGAGAUGUAUUUAGGUUUAGUUCCAGAUGAACAAUGAGAGACUGAAAGACUUAAGGGACCCCUGAGAAGAGCAGAGGGAAUAUUCCCUGAGGCAGCCAUCAGUCAGACCUGGCCCUGUCAUUUAAAUGUGGGCUAGUGGUAGCAAGAUGCUGUUAUUAUUUUCACCAAGGACAUUUUUUGAGUAGCAAUUAAAAUGAAGUCUAUUUCUCUGAGCCCCUGGAGAAGAACAUAAGCACAUGAUGGUAACCAUCAAUUUAGUGGGCCUAACGUUAUCUAGGUGGUUAAUGUUUCCAUGGCUUCUGGCAAUUCCCAGUGUAAGUCACCUGUGUAUACUGGGUGGAUGCUUCUUUAAAUUAAAGAUAAGCUGUUCAGCUUAAUAACAGCUAAGGGAGAAUAUAGAGCCCGUGGGUGAACUGUUUACUAACAAGCUUCUUCAGGGUCAUUCAACUUGAAUGAACUCUCUUUUAGGCUAACUUGGUUUGUGGAGGGAAUGCAUGUUUCUUAGUUAAAAUAGUUACAUUGGAAUCCCAACUGUGCACAGGACUUCAAGGGUAAUUAUGAACCCCCACUGCAGAUUUCAGGCUUAGCACCAAUUCUCCUUGCUUUCUACUUGUAUCCAUCAAAAACAGAAGUUACGAUGGAGUUACAGCUAUACUUGUAAGGGUCUCAGUGAACCUCUCCCACUAUUCUGCCUUAUCACCUUUGGGUUCCUGUGUUCUCUACCCCCUCCCCACUGCAUGUUUUCAUUCAGCCAGGAAACAUUUACUGCCUGCCUGGUAUCAAGCCCUUGCAUGAGGGUGGGAGCUCAUAAAGAUGACUACACUAGAGAAUCAUUUGACCUUUCUCAUGUAGACCUCAACAUGAAUGAGUUUCAAUGCUGAUAGGGCAAUCAUUACCUUCAGACAAAUUUUCAGGAACAGCCAAGACUAGAGAAUGUAUGGCUAAAACACAGCACUAUGCAUUUAUAAUAGUCAUGGGUUCUCCUGUUUUAAUUGUACAUGGAGAAUAUUUCAGCUUUAUUUGUAUGGGCUGCUCUUAUGUAAAACAUUAUUUCAAUGAGGAAAUGUGUUUGGGGUUCUAAAUGACUAACUUACAAACACAACUUUGAAUAAAGUCCAUGAAUAAUUUGAGGAUUUAUGUCUAUCAAUGGCUGAUUUACCAGAUUGUUGGCUUUGGGUUUAUUGGUAUCCAUGUUGAGAGGCAUCAGAUCAUCCAAGGUUUAAGUUUCGUCCUGACCACUGACUAGCAUUGAGACCUUAAUGGGAUUAAUAACAAUGAUAAUGAUAGUGACAAGAGCUAGCUUUUCAUGAGCACAGUGGCUAAGAGAGUUAGCAUCAGUUCUAGCUGCUUUCAUUGACAUAGAUGUAAAUGGGGAGGGAAACCAUGACUAGACUCAAAUCUCUGCUCUAACGUCUGAUACCUGAAUAUCACUUUGCAAGCCACGUCAUCUCUCUAAGUUGUAGCUCUUUGUCUGAAAAAUGUGGAUAGUUAAUACAUUAUAAAUAAAUUAUUAUUACAUUAAUACACAGAAAUUCAUAAUGCUAUUGUGGGGAUUACAUGAGAUGAUGGAAGUAUUUAAUCUAGUGUCUUGUAUAUGGCAAAUAAAAAAUAAAUAUUCACUGCUGUUAAU
rnacentral:lncRNA from 1 species